rnacentral:rRNA from 1 species
AGAGUUUGAUCCUGGCUCAGGAUGAACGCUAGCUACAGGCUUAACACAUGCAAGUCGAGGGGCAGCAUGGUCUUAGCUUGCUAAGGCCGAUGGCGACCGGCGCACGGGUGAGUAACACGUAUCCAACCUGCCGUCUACUCUUGGACAGCCUUCUGAAAGGAAGAUUAAUACAAGAUGGCAUCAUGAGUCCGCAUGUUCACAUGAUUAAAGGUAUUCCGGUAGACGAUGGGGAUGCGUUCCAUUAGAUAGUAGGCGGGGUAACGGCCCACCUAGUCUUCGAUGGAUAGGGGUUCUGAGAGGAAGGUCCCCCACAUUGGAACUGAGACACGGUCCAAACUCCUACGGGAGGCAGCAGUGAGGAAUAUUGGUCAAUGGGCGAGAGCCUGAACCAGCCAAGUAGCGUGAAGGAUGACUGCCCUAUGGGUUGUAAACUUCUUUUAUAAAGGAAUAAAGUCGGGUAUGCAUACCCGUUUGCAUGUACUUUAUGAAUAAGGAUCGGCUAACUCCGUGCCAGCAGCCGCGGUAAUACGGAGGAUCCGAGCGUUAUCCGGAUUUAUUGGGUUUAAAGGGAGCGUAGAUGGAUGUUUAAGUCAGUUGUGAAAGUUUGCGGCUCAACCGUAAAAUUGCAGUUGAUACUGGAUAUCUUGAGUGCAGUUGAGGCAGGCGGAAUUCGUGGUGUAGCGGUGAAAUGCUUAGAUAUCACGAAGAACUCCGAUUGCGAAGGCAGCCUGCUAAGCUGCAACUGACAUUGAGGCUCGAAAGUGUGGGUAUCAAACAGGAUUAGAUACCCUGGUAGUCCACACGGUAAACGAUGAAUACUCGCUGUUUGCGAUAUACAGCAAGCGGCCAAGCGAAAGCGUUAAGUAUUCCACCUGGGGAGUACGCCGGCAACGGUGAAACUCAAAGGAAUUGACGGGGGCCCGCACAAGCGGAGGAACAUGUGGUUUAAUUCGAUGAUACGCGAGGAACCUUACCCGGGCUUAAAUUGCAGAUGAAUUACGGUGAAAGCCGUAAGCCGCAAGGCAUCUGUGAAGGUGCUGCAUGGUUGUCGUCAGCUCGUGCCGUGAGGUGUCGGCUUAAGUGCCAUAACGAGCGCAACCCUUGUUGUCAGUUACUAACAGGUCAUGCUGAGGACUCUGACAAGACUGCCAUCGUAAGAUGUGAGGAAGGUGGGGAUGACGUCAAAUCAGCACGGCCCUUACGUCCGGGGCUACACACGUGUUACAAUGGGGGGUACAGAGGGCCGCUACCACGCGAGUGGAUGCCAAUCCCAAAAACCUCUCUCAGUUCGGACUGGAGUCUGCAACCCGACUCCACGAAGCUGGAUUCGCUAGUAAUCGCGCAUCAGCCACGGCGCGGUGAAUACGUUCCCGGGCCUUGUACACACCGCCCGUCAAGCCAUGGGAGCCGGGGGUACCUGAAGUGCGUAACCGCGAGGAGCGCCCUAGGGUAAAACUGGUGACUGGGGCUAAGUCGUAACAAGGUAGCCGUACCGGAAGGUGCGGCUG